rnacentral:rRNA from 1 species
GAUGAACGCUGGCGGCGUGCCUAAUACAUGCAGGUCGAGCGAACGGACGAGAAGCUUGCUUCUCUGAUGUUAGCGGCGGACGGGUGAGUAACACGUGGAUAACCUACCUAUAAGACUGGGAUAACUUCGGGAAACCGUAGCUAAUACCGGAUAAUAUUUUGAACCGCAUGGUUCAAAAGUGAAAGACGGUCUUGCUGUCACUUAUAGAUGGAUCCGCGCUGCAUUAGCUAGUUGGUAAGGUAACGGCUUACCAAGGCAACGAUGCAUAGCCGACCUGAGAGGGUGAUCGGCCACACUGGAACUGAGACACGGUCCAGACUCCUACGGGAGGCAGCAGUAGGGAAUCUUCCGCAAUGGGCGAAAGCCUGACGGAGCAACGCCGCGUGAAUGAUGAAGGUCUUCGGAUCGUAAAACUCUGUUAUUAGGGAAGAACAUAUGUGUAAGUAACUGUGCACAUCUUGACGGUACCUAAUCAGAAAGCCACGGCUAACUACGUG